GAUGAACGCUGACAGAAUGCUUAACACAUGCAAGUCGAUGGGGAAGUGGUGCUUGCACCAUGGCAACCAUGGCGGACGGGUGAGUAACGCGUAAGGGACUUACCUGCAGGACUGGGAUAACAGGGGGAAACUCCUGACAAGACCGGAUAAUGUCAUGGAGCUGCAUGGCUUUAUGAUGAAAGGAGACGCCUGCGGAGAGCCUUGCGUCCUAUUAGCUAGUUGGUGAGGUAAGGGCUCACCAAGGCGAAGAUAGGUAGCCGGCCUGAGAGGGUGGACGGCCACAAGGGGACUGAGAUACGGCCCUUACUCCUACGGGAGGCAGCAGUGGGGAAUAUUGGACAAUGGGGGCAACCCUGAUCCAGCAAUUCUGUGUGCACGAAGAAGGUUUUCGGAUUGUAAAGUGCUUUCAGCAGGGAAGAAGGAAGUGACGGUACCUGCAGAAGAAGCGACGGCUAAAUACGUGCCAGCAGCCGCGGUAAUACGUAUGUCGCGAGCGUUAUCCGGAAUUAUUGGGCAUAAAGGGCAUCUAGGCGGCCUGACAAGUCAGGGGUGAAAACCUGCGGCUCAACCGCAGGCCUGCCUUUGAAACUGUGAGGCUGGAGUACCGGAGAGGUGGACGGAACUGCACGAGUAGAGGUGAAAUUCGUAGAUAUGUGCAGGAAUGCCGAUGAUGAAGAUAGUCCACUGGACGGAGACUGACGCUGAAGUGCGAAAGCCGGGGGAGCGAACAGG
rnacentral:rRNA from 1 species